ensembl:antisense Gm28809 predicted gene 28809
AGAAUGACACAGCCAGAACAGGAAGGGCUCAAAUGGAACCAAAGUCACAGAGAUGAAAACUCUUACUUCAGAAAACCCACCCAUGUACGACUGGGAAUCCCCAGGUUCUGGACAGGAUGGUCUCUAAGAGCUACACAGAGGAGGAUGCCCUGGAUCUUCUGCCUCUGACCUCAAGUGCUGAGGUUGCCUCCAUGCAGCGGAGUACUGCAGCUCAUGAACUACUGGGAGUUAACACCCAAGUUAAGCUUCGUGAGGCUUUUCUGUGUGUCUGGCCGCCUGAGAACACAGCCGACCUGCGUGGUGACCUUGACCUGACCAGAGCUCUGUCUCAGAUGGCUUCCAUAGUCAUGGUCAGUCAGAGAAGAGGAAACAGGCCCAGAG